CGCAACUUGCGCCCUCUGGUAUUCCGGAGGGCAUGCCUGUUUGAGUGUCAUGUAGACUCAUCUCUUCAGAUUUUUUCUGAUCAGAUGGAUUUGGAGGUCUUUUGCCUUUGUGGCUCCUCUUAAAAGCAUUGUGCAGACGUGAUAAGUUUCGUCGUACGCGCACUCGCCCCGCAAGGGACAACUACUUUGUACUCUGACCUCAAAUCAGGUAGGGCUACCCGCUGAACUUAA
rnacentral:misc_RNA from 1 species